GACCCAGUGGUGUAUGGUACAUGCCCGCUUGCAAUAGAUUUUGGGGCUUUCCUGUCAGCGGGAGUCGCUCGUUCGAUUCGGGCCUGGGUCA